rnacentral:lncRNA from 1 species
AUGGUGGCAUCAGGAGGUGACACGGGGACAGGGGUGGGGACAUUGGGUGAUGGUGGCACCAGGAGGAGACACUGGGUCAAUGGUGGCCUUGGGGACAUCAGGGUGAGGGUGGUGGCACCAGGAGGUGACACGGGGACAUCGGGUGGGGACAUUGGGGUGAUGGUGGCCUUGGUGACAUGGUGGCCUUGGGGACAUUGGGUGAUGGUGGCAGCAGGAGGUGACACGGGGACAUUGGGUGAGGGUGGUGGCACCAGGAGGUGACACGGGGACAGGGGAGGGGACAUUGGGGUGAUGGUGGCCUUGGUGACAUGGUGGCCUUGGGGACAUUGGGGCGAGGGUGGCAGCAGGAAUUGACAUGGGGUCAGUGGUGGCCUUGGGGACAUCGGGUGAUGGUGGCACCAGGAGGUGACAUGGGGUCAAUGGUGGCCCUGGGGACAUCGGGGUGAUGGUGGCCUUGGUGACAUGGUGGCCCUGGGGACAU